UACGUAGGGUGCGAGCGUUAAUCGGAUUUACUGGGCGUAAAGCGUGCGCAGGCGGCCCGUUAAGACAGGUGUGAAAUCCCUGGGCUCAACCUAGGAAUUGCGCUUGUGACUGGCGGGCUCGAGUACGGUAGAGGGGGGUGGAAUUCCUGGUGUAGCAGUGAAAUGCGUAGAGAUCAGGAGGAACACCGAUGGCGAAGGCCGCCCCCUGGGCCUGUACUGACGCUCAUGCACGAAAGCGUGGGGAGCAAACAGG
rnacentral:rRNA from 1 species